rnacentral:rRNA from 1 species
UACUGAGUGGCAGACGGGUGAGUAACAUGUGGGAAUCUGCCUUGUGGUUCAGGACAACAUUGGGAAACCGAUGCUAAUACUGGAUAAGCCCUUACGGGGAAAGUUUUAAUGCCAUAAGAUGAGCCCGCAUUUGAUUAGUUAGUUGGUGAGGUAAUGGCUCACCAAGACAAUGAUUAAUAGCUGAUCUGAGAGGAUGAUCAGCCACACUGGGACUGAGACACGGCCCAGACUCCUACGGGAGGCAGCAGUGGGGAAUCUUGCACAAUGGAGGAAACUCUGAUGCAGCGAUGCCGCGUGAGUGAAGAAGGCCUUUGGGUUGUAAAGCUCUUUUGUAGGGGAAGAUAAUGACUGUACCCUAAGAAUAAGGUCCGGCUAACUUCGUGCCAGCAGCCGCGGUAAUACGAAGGGACCUAGCGUAGUUCGGAAUUACUGGGCGUAAAGCGCGCGUAGGCCGUUGAGUUAGUUAAUUGUGAAAUCCCAAAGCUUAACUUUGGAACUGCAAU